ACUCCUACGGGAGGCAGCAGUAGGGAAUCUUCCGCAAUGGACGAAAGUCUGACGGAGCAACGCCGCGUGAACGAUGAAGGUUUUCGGAUCGUAAAGUUCUGUUGUUAGGGAAGAACAAGUACCGUUCUAACAGGACGGUACCUUGACGGUACCUAUCGAGGAAGCCCCGGCUAACUACGUGCCAGCAGCCGCGGUAAU
rnacentral:rRNA from 1 species